rnacentral:rRNA from 1 species
CGGGCUUGAACUGCAGGGGAACGAUUCAGAGAUGAUGAGGUCCUUCGGGACUCCUGUGGAGGUGCUGCAUGGUUGUCGUCAGCUCGUGCCGUGAGGUGUCGGCUUAAGUGCCAUAACGAGCGCAACCCCUGUCCCCAGUUGCCAUCGGGUGAUGCCGGGCACUCUGGGGAGACUGCCGCCGCAAGGUGGAGGAGGGUGGGGAUGACGUCAAAUCAGCACGGCCCUUACGUCCGGGGCUACACACGUGUUACAAUGGGGGGUACAGAGCGCCGGCCGCCGGCAACGUCGGUCCAAUCGCGAAAGCCUCUCCCAGUUCGGACUGGGGUCUGCAACCCGACCCCACGAAGCUGGAUUCGCUAGUAAUCGCGCAUCAGCCAUGGCGCGGUGAAUACGUUCCCGGGCC